AACUCCGUGUGUAGCAUUCGGU
rnacentral:miRNA from 2 species